GAAAUAGAAUUAACAUGCUGGGAGGGGAACAAGGAGAUCACAACCUCCAAGCAGACCCAGGCCUUCUCCGGAUAGUUCUGAGUUGGCCUGAUGGGGCACAAGAGAUCACACAGAGCAGAAUACAGCUGACUCAGUGAAGGUCACUAACCAGCCAGUCCCCAGCCCAUCUGCCAGCUGCCCAAAGAUGCCAAACAACCAGUCUUAUGAGAAAUCAUAAAUGAUGGCUGAUUUGAGGAUUCCUGGGGACAGAUGCACUGGUUCAUCACCGCAUCCCACCCAGGAGAGCAGAGCAGCUUGAGGGCUGCAUCAGGCUGAAGGAGGGUGAGACCUGGUACCACACCACGAGGAAUGUACUCAUCAUGGAUCACAAACAGGCAGGUCUCUACCACUGCACUCAGAACAUGGAAAGAGAGAGCUUCUCCUGCUGUUGUCUACACACUGGUCCUAAACAAUUCUCUGUGGACUGUAUCAUGUCGGUGGGUUGGGCCUGGGCGUUGUGCCCAGUCUUGUAGCCAGCGGAGGCAACCAGAAUAAAGGCGAAUGGAGGACCUUGCUAGUGAUCCUCUCUCGACACAAACAUUAGCUACCGCUGUCCCCUGGAUGGUGUCUUGCCUCAUUUUAGGCUGCUUUCCUGUGUUAUCCCCUGCUGCCUGCAUCCCCUCCACUCCGAAGAGCGCAACAGACAUAGCAGGCACUCAGCGAGCAGCUGCUGAGCAGAAGGAAGGAAGCUUUUGCAGCUCCUGGCUCCGUGCCUCCUCUCUGAUUCUGUUUCCCUUGUCCCCUGUUCCCAGUGCUCGCCACACUUCCCCCGUGGCCUGCCAUCCAUCUCUCACAGCUGGGCUGAGGUCUUCCCAUGCGCUCCUUCAGUCCCCAGAGAAUGAGCUGCUCUCUCCUCCCUGGCCCACAGCAGCCUGGAUAGAGGCGGCAAGCAGCACUGGGAAGCACAGAGCGCAGGUGUGCACUUCAGCCCCUGGGACCUUCCCCCCGCCCCCGCUGUGUGCUGGGUCCUAGGAGACAUGGGAUCCCAGGAUGCCACUUCUCUGAGAGGCCACCUCCUCAUCUCUCAGGUGUGUCUCAAAGUGUGGCUGGGGCACAUAACAUGUACACAGGGCUCCGGCUGGGCACUAGUCGAUCCCUUACCUAGAGCUGCUUACAGAAUCCAUGUCUCUUAUAGACUUUGUUUCUUUGCUCAGAAACCCCUUAUACAGCACGUACUGCGGCCUGGUACUCUUCUAAGUAAGUAUCCCAUGACCGUUCCCCUAUUACAGGUAAGGAAACUGUUGCACAGACAGAAGUUGGUUGUUUGCUCAAAGUCACACAGGAUUCAAACCCAGGCAUCUUGACUUCAGAGUCUGUGCUAUUAGGUUCUUGGGUAUGACACCUCCUAGAAUAUGACACUGUGUCUGU